rnacentral:lncRNA from 1 species
AGGGACCGAACCCGCAACCUCAUGGUUCCUAGUCGGAUUCGUUAACCACUGCGCCACGACGGGAACUCCUGGCCUGGGAAUUUCUACAUGCCAUGGAUAUGGCCAAAGAAUAGGAUAGGAUAGGAUAGGAUAGGGGAAAAGAACAAGCUUUAAAAGGACAGACAUUAAAUUAAAAACACAACAUAUAUUUAAAUGAAAAAAUAUCACAAAAUGACCAACAUUCCCAAAUUUACAUUCAGCGUGUUCUUAGUGGAAAAAUGUAUUUUCUCAUAUGAUCAUGAUAGCCACGAAUGUUGCACAUCUGCAAAAGGUCAGCAUUGAAAAUGCCAGGGAUGAACUUAUGUCAGGGAGUAAUUAACUUAGAGGAAAAAAAUCAAGGUUUGUUUCUUUGGGCACUAAGAGUAUGCAGGUUUAAAAAAACAAAAGUUUGCAAUGUCAUGAUCUUGGGAUUUUGUUUGUCUGUUUACAGUCCAGAGAGUAAAGCUUUCUUUACUGGAGUGAGAAGCGUGGGGUGCAGGUUAUUACCCACAGGGGUGGCAUGGCAAGGUGUCCUUGGCUUCCACAUAACUUUGGGGAAGGUUCCUUUUUCCAAUAUUUGUUCAUUUAAACCAUUUGUCUAAAAGACCUUUUUUUUACUUAUGUUUUUCUUUCAAAGUCAAUAUACUUUCAUUUUUACAGAAGUUAAUUAGACCGAGUAGCCUCUAGUGGGAGACCGAUGGCACACACACCCACACCCAAAGGGCAGUGUGCAGGGAAAAGGGAAACCAAUGGGGCCUGGGAAGAACCCCCGGGCCUAAAGGGAUCAGAAGAGGGAAGUGUGCCAGGGGCUGCCUAGGGAGCUAUGGCUUUUAUGAAAGGACGCAGCCAGUCUGAAGUAACCUACAGGGAGAAUCAAUACCAGACCCACAAAAGCAAGCAGAAGCCUGAGGGAAGAGGGCUGGAUUUGUCAGGAGCGAGGUGGAGUGUGGAUCUAGAGGGCAAAUGGAGAAAAUAUGAACAGGGUCAGCUGUUCCUGCCUCUCCUUGAAAAGUGUGCUUAUUCCUAGCACAGAGCACUUUGUCCCUAUGUUAAUAAUGAUAAACCAUUACGUGUAUAGUCCUUAAAGCUGGAGAUUGCAACAUGGUGUUGCAACUCUAUCAGGAGCAUGAACAGGUAUGUAAGCUCCUGAGAAAGACUUGACUUCUACAGAGGUACAGAGCAGGGAAGAGGUCAGGCCAGCCUUCGGCUCCAGAUCUGCUCUUCCCACCCAGAUACAAACACCUGUGGGUUUUCUGCAUUGUCUUCAAUGAGAAAAGUAAAUUUUUUUUUCAUAUACUUACAAUUUAAAAUAAGCAAAUGAGGAAGGCAAGGGUGGUUAAAAAAAUAUUUGGUUAAGGUUAACCAAACAAUAACCAAUGAAUUCCUGAUUCAUUCCCUAAACAAUUGCUUUCCUAGAAAAUUGCCUCGUCAAGGGCUGAUUCAGAGAGGUCCUGCCUGAAUUUGACUCGAACUGCAGGGAGGCUCCCCAUUUAGAUCGCUUUCCUUUCAUUCAGAAAAUGCCUAGUCACCAAAAUGCUGCAGUGAUUUUUUUUUUUUUUCCUCCCUCAUCUAGGGCACAUGGAAGUUCCCAGGCCAGAAAUCAAACCUGGGCCUCCAUAGUUGAAUCCCCAACCCACUGUGCCAUAGCAGGAACUCCAAUUUUUGUUGUUUUUAUUUUAUUUAAAAAAUUUUUUUGGCCAGGCCCGCAGCAUGUGGAAGUUCCCAGGCUAGGGAUCAAACCCACCCCAGAGCUAUAACCAGAGCCACAGAAGUGACAAUGCCGUAUCCGUAAGCCUCGGAGCCAGGAGGGAUCUCCAAUUUUUUUUUUUUUUUUUUU